rnacentral:rRNA from 1 species
ACUACCGAUUGAAUGGUUUAGUGAGGCCUCCUGACUGGCGCCGACCCGCUGGCGACAGAGGGUGGGAUGCCGGGAAGUUGGCCAAACUUGAUCAUUUAGAGGAAGCAAAAGUCGUAACAAGGUUUCCGUAGGUGAACCUGCGGAAGGAUCAUUACCGUGGCAAGAGAACGAAUACCUUGUGAACCUGUUGCAACCGAUAGUUGGGGGUCGGUCGGGUGCACCGUUCGCUAAAUGGCUUUGGCCAGCCCCGCAACAUUGUUUUCCCGAAGAAAACGUGUGCAAGCAAAGAAAGAAAGUUACUUAGAAUGAAGGAAACCGAAAAAAAGCGGGAGAGACAACUUUUGACGGUGGAUCUCUUGGCUCGCGCAUCGAUGAAGAACGCAGCCAGCUGCGAUAAGUAGUGUGAAUUGCAGAAUUCAGUGAAUCAUCGAGUCUUUGAACGCAAAUGGCGCUCUUGGGUUCUCCCAGGAGCAUGUCUGUCUGGGUGUCGGAUUUCAGUCACGAACGCUCGCGGGCGUGUUAGCCGGAAGGCGCGGGCGGCUCUGAGGUGUCACGCACGGGAUCUGUCUGUCUACCUACGGCGUGUCCCUCGAAGUGCAAAGUAGUCGUGCGGGCAGGCGACGGUCUGUCGGAGAGGCUAAAUAAAGAAAGCCCUUUUCGACACCGUCGAGGAUGUGUCUGUCCGCGCGUGGAUGAUGUCUUUGGCUUGACCUCAGAUCAGGCAAGGCUACCCGCUGAAUUUAAGCAUAUUAAUAAGCGGAGGAAAAGAAACUAACAAGGAUUCCCUCAGUAACGGCGAGUGAAGCGGGAACGGCUCAAAUUUGAAAUCUCCGUUGCUUUACAACGGCGAAUUGUAAUUUCGAGAAGCGCUUUCUCGGCGGACCGGGCGCGCCUAAGUUGCUUGGAACAGCACGUCGCAGAGGGUGACAACCCCGUCUGUGGCGAGUCCGGCCGCUCACGAUGUGCUUUCGAA